rnacentral:rRNA from 1 species
GUGUCAGCAGCCGCGGUAAUACGAAGGGGGCUAGCGUUGUUCGGAAUUACUGGGCGUAAAGGGCGCGUAGGCGGCUGUCCAAGUCAGAUGUGAAAGCCCCGGGCUUAACCUGGGAAUUGCAUUUGAGACUGGGCGGCUUGAGUUUCGGAGAGGUGGGUGGAAUUCCCAGUGUAGAGGUGAAAUUCGUAGAUAUUGGGAAGAACACCGGUGGCGAAGGCGACUUCCUGGCCUGUUCUUGACGCUGAGGCGCGAAAGCUAGGGUAGCAAACGGGAUUAGAAACCCCAGUAGUCC